GUGCUCGCUUCAGCAGCACCUAUAGUAAAAUUGGAACAAUACAGAGAAGAUUACCAUGGCCUUGUGCAAGGAUGACAUGCAAAUUCACGAAGCAUUCCAUAUUUUU
ensembl:snRNA U6 U6 spliceosomal RNA